AUUGAACGCUGGCGGCAUGCUUUACACAUGCAAGUCGAACGGUAACAGGCCGCAAGGUUCUGACGAGUGGCGAGCGGGUGAGUAAUGCAUCGGAACGUGCCCAGUCGUGGGGGAUAACUACUCGAAAGAGUAGCUAAUACCGCAUACGAUCUAUGGAUGAAAGCGGGGGACCGUAAGGCCUCGCGCGAUUGGAGCGGCCGAUGUCAGAUUAGGUAGUUGGUGGGGUAAAGGCUCACCAAGCCAACGAUCUGUAGCUGGUCUGAGAGGACGACCAGCCACACUGGGACUGAGACACGGCCCAGACUCCUACGGGAGGCAGCAGUGGGGAAUUUUGGACAAUGGGCGCAAGCCUGAUCCAGCAAUGCCGCGUGCAGGAAGAAGGCCUUCGGGUUGUAAACUGCUUUUGUACGGAACGAAACGGCUCUGGUUAAUACCCGGGGCUAAUGACGGUACCGUAAGAAUAAGCACCGGCUAACUACGUG
rnacentral:rRNA from 1 species